CUAGAUGUUUGAUCCUGGCUCAGGACGAACGCUGGCGGCGUGCCUAAUACAUGCAAGUCGAGCGGAGAUUUGAAAAGCUUGCUUUUCAAAUCUUAGCGGCGGACGGGUGAGUAACACGUGGGCAACCUGCCCUUGAGACGGGGAUAACUCCGGGAAACCGGAGCUAAUACCGGAUAACACAUAUCUUCGCAUGAGGAUAUGUUAGAAGGUGGCUUUUAGCUACCACUCAAGGAUGGGCCCGCGGCGCAUUAGCUAGUUGGUGAGGUAACGGCUCACCAAGGCGACGAUGCGUAGCCGACCUGAGAGGGUGAUCGGCCACACUGGGACUGAGACACGGCCCAGACUCCUACGGGAGGCAGCAGUAGGGAAUCUUCCGCAAUGGACGAAAGUCUGACGGAGCAACGCCGCGUGAGUGAUGAAGGUUUUCGGAUCGUAAAGCUCUGUUGUUAGGGAAGAACAAGUACCUGUUGAAUAAGCAGGUACCUUGACGGUACCUAACCAGAAAGCCACGGCUAACUACGUGCCAGCAGCCGCGGUAAUACGUAGGUGGCAAGCGUUGUCCGGAAUUAUUGGGCGUAAAGCGCGCGCAGGCGGUUCCUUAAGUCUGAUGUGAAAGCCCACGGCUCAACCGUGGAGGGUCAUUGGAAACUGGGGAACUUGAGUGCAGAAGAGGAGAGCGGAAUUCCACGUGUAGCGGUGAAAUGCGUAGAGAUGUGGAGGAACACCAGUGGCGAAGGCGGCUCUCUGGUCUGUAACUGACGCUGAGGCGCGAAAGCGUGGGGAGCGAACAGGAUUAGAUACCCUGGUAGUCCACGCCGUAAACGAUGAGUGCUAAGUGUUAGAGGGUUUCCGCCCUUUAGUGCUGCAGCAAACGCAUUAAGCAC
rnacentral:rRNA from 1 species